UGGGCCCUACGGGGCGCAGCAGUGGGGAAUAUUGGGCAAUGGGCGCAAGCCUGACCCAGCAACGCCGCGUGAAGGAAGAAGGCUUUCGGGUUGUAAACUUCUUUUGUCAGGGACGAAGCAAGUGACGGUACCUGACGAAUAAGCCACGGCUAACUACGUGCCAGCAGCCGCGGUAAUACGUAGGUGGCAAGCGUUAUCCGGAUUUAUUGGGUGUAAAGGGCGUGUAGGCGGGAAUGCAAGUCUGAUGUGAAAAUCCGGGGCCCAACCCCGGAACUGCAUUGGAAACUGGAUUUCUAGAGUGUCGG
rnacentral:rRNA from 1 species